rnacentral:lncRNA from 1 species
UCUAAUUAAUCAGUGAUAUCAUGAAUAAUAGUUUCGCCCAUGCCCGAACGAACCCCCUCCCCCUUAAUCCUCCUAUAUUCGAGUUUAAAGAGAUAGUAGCAUCAGUGUUUAGCAUUAAAUAACCAGGUGUAGGAGGGUUCCAUUUGACGUAAAUUAUUUUUGAUGUGUGAGUCUCCCGCAAAAUACCAAAAUUCAGUAGACAAACUUAUGGC